rnacentral:lncRNA from 1 species
UACACAACAUGGGAUGUACAAAACCAAUUUGUACACGACAUAGAUGUACACAAUGGCAGUAGAAUAUGACUUUCAUAUCAUUAUACAAAGCUUAAUGAAGUUGAUUCUCAAAUGGCAGUAGAAUAUGACUUUCAUAUCUCUUUAACAUGUACAUGCGUACACUAACAUUUGUGUAUACAUCAUCGUGCUCACCCAAUGUACUCGUGUACACGAAACAAUGUACAUACACAAAACACAAAAUAGAUGUUUCGUUUAGAUCAAAACCGUAUGCAACCUGUAUGUAUUGAACUUCUUUCUUUCUCUCUGCUCCCAUUUCAUUCUCUCAAACAUUCCCAAGAUUCCCAGAUUUUAAAUUAUGUCUCUCGUUUGGGAAUCGGUCUGUCGCAAAAAACCUCCCAGCAAGAAGUUCUUUAAAAUUAUCAAGGCCAUGCGCCUCUUCGCCGCUCCCCCCCCCCCUCGAUAUCCUCCACCGCUUCACCACCUUCGGAAACACAAAGAUAUUUAUUUAGAAAGGGAAACAAAAUAAAAAAUCAAAGCAAUUAUCACCCUAAUCACCUACGUUCACUUUCAGCCGCAGACUCCGUCUCUUCCACAUCGUCGCCGGAAUCUUCAACGUACGCUGUUAAACUCUCCCACCGGCCAAAAUCGCCUCUUAUUCCUCUUAAACAGAGUUUUGAGAUUUAUUCUCGAUAACUUAUGUUUGUCAAAAGGUAAAGGUGACAAUAAUUAAUA